UAGGGAAUCUUCCGCAAUGGGCGAAAGCCUGACGGAGCAACGCCGCGUGAGUGAUGAAGGUCUUCGGAUCGUAAAACUCUGUUAUUAGGGAAGAACAAAUGUGUAAGUAACUAUGCACGUCUUGACGGCACCUAAUCAGAAAGCCACGGCUAACUACGUGCCAGCAGCCGCGGUAAUACGUAGGUGGCAAGCGUUAUCCGGAAUUAUUGGGCGUAAAGCGCGCGUAGGCGGUUUUUUAAGUCUGAUGUGAAAGCCCACGGCUCAACCGUGGAGGGUCAUUGGAAACUGGAAAGCUUGAGUGAAGAAGAGGAAAGUGGAAUUGCAUGUGUAGCGGUGAAAUGCGCAGAGGUAUGGAGGAACACCAGUGGCGAAGGCGACUUUCUGGUCUGUAACUGACGCUGAUGUGCGAGAGCGUGGGGAUCAAACAGG
rnacentral:rRNA from 1 species